GGUUAAGUUAGAAAGGGCGCACGGUGGAUGCCUUGACACUAGGAGUCGAUGAAGGACGGGACUAACGCCGAUAUGCUUCGGGGAGCUGUAAGUAAGCUUUGAUCCGAAGAUUUCCGAAUGGGGAAACCCACCAUACGUAAUGGUAUGGUAUCCUUACCUGAAUACAUAGGGUAAGGAAGACAGACCCAGGGAACUGAAACAUCUAAGUACCUGGAGGAAGAGAAAGCAAAUGCGAUUUCCUGAGUAGCGGCGAGCGAAACGGAACAUAGCCCAAACCAAGAGGCUUGCCUCUUGGGGUUGUAGGACAUUCUAUACGGAGUUACAAAGGAACGAGGUAGACGAAGCGACCUGGAAAGGUCCGUCGUAGAGGGUAACAACCCGUAGUCGAAACUUCGUUCUCUCUUGAAUGUAUCCUGAGUACGGCGGAACACGUGAAAUUCCGUCGGAAUCUGGGAGGACCAUCUCCCAAGGCUAAAUACUCCCUAGUGAUCGAUAGUGAACCAGUACCGUGAGGGAAAGGUGAAAAGCACCCCGGAAGGGGAGUGAAAGAGAUCCUGAAACCGUGUGCCUACAAAUAGUCAGAGCCCGUUAACGGGUGAUGGCGUGCCUUUUGUAGAAUGAACCGGCGAGUUACGAUCCCGUGCGAGGUUAAGCUGAAGAGGCGGAGCCGCAGCGAAAGCGAGUCUGAAUAGGGCGUUUAGUACGUGGUCGUAGACCCGAAACCAGGUGAUCUACCCAUGUCCAGGGUGAAGUUCAGGUAACACUGAAUGGAGGCCCGAACCCACGCACGUUGAAAAGUGCGGGGAUGAGGUGUGGGUAGCGGAGAAAUUCCAAUCGAACCUGGAGAUAGCUGGUUCUCCCCGAAAUAGCUUUAGGGCUAGCCUUAAGUGUAAGAGUCUUGGAGGUAGAGCACUGAUUGGACUAGGGGUCCUCAUCGGAUUACCGAAUUCAGUCAAACUCCGAAUGCCAAUGACUUAUCCUUAGGAGUCAGACUGCGAGUGAUAAGAUCCGUAGUCAAAAGGGAAACAGCCCAGACCGCCAGCUAAGGUCCCAAAGUGUGUAUUAAGUGGAAAAGGAUGUGGAGUUGCUUAGACAACUAGGAUGUUGGCUUAGAAGCAGCCACCAUUUAAAGAGUGCGUAAUAGCUCACUAGUCGAGUGACUCUGCGCCGAAAAUGUACCGGGGCUAAAUACACCACCGAAGCUGCGGAUUGAUACCAAUGGUAUCAGUGGUAGGGGAGCGUUCUAAGGACAGUGAAGUCAGACCGGAAGGACUGGUGGAGUGCUUAGAAGUGAGAAUGCCGGUAUGAGUAGCGAAAGACGGGUGAGAAUCCCGUCCACCGAAUGCCUAAGGUUUCCUGAGGAAGGCUCGUCCGCUCAGGGUUAGUCAGGACCUAAGCCGAGGCCGACAGGCGUAGGCGAUGGACAACAGGUUGAUAUUCCUGUACCACCUCUUUAUCGUUUGAGCAAUGGAGGGACGCAGAAGGAUAGAAGAAGCGUGCGAUUGGUUGUGCACGUCCAAGCAGUUAGGCUGAUAAGUAGGCAAAUCCGCUUAUCGUGAAGGCUGAGCUGUGAUGGGGAAGCUCCUUAUGGAGCGAAGUCUUUGAUUCCCCGCUGCCAAGAAAAGCUUCUAGCGAGAUAAAAGGUGCCUGUACCGCAAACCGACACAGGUAGGCGAGGAGAGAAUCCUAAGGUGUGCGAGAGAACUCUGGUUAAGGAACUCGGCAAAAUGACCCCGUAACUUCGGGAGAAGGGGUGCUUUCUUAACGGAAAGCCGCAGUGAAUAGGCCCAAGCGACUGUUUAGCAAAAACACAGCUCUCUGCGAAGCCGUAAGGCGAAGUAUAGGGGGUGACACCUGCCCGGUGCUGGAAGGUUAAGGAGAGGGGUUAGCGUAAGCGAAGCUCUGAACUGAAGCCCCAGUAAACGGCGGCCGUAACUAUAACGGUCCUAAGGUAGCGAAAUUCCUUGUCGGGUAAGUUCCGACCCGCACGAAAGGUGUAACGAUUUGGGCACUGUCUCAACCAGAGACUCGGUGAAAUUAUAGUACCUGUGAAGAUGCAGGUUACCCGCGACAGGACGGAAAGACCCCGUGGAGCUUUACUGUAGCCUGAUAUUGAAUUUUGGUACAGUUUGUACAGGAUAGGCGGGAGCCUUUGAAACCGGAGCGCUAGCUUCGGUGGAGGCGCUGGUGGGAUACCGCCCUGACUGUAUUGAAAUUCUAACCUACGGGUCUUAUCGACCCGGGAGACAGUGUCAGGUGGGCAGUUUGACUGGGGCGGUCGCCUCCUAAAGUGUAACGGAGGCGCCCAAAGGUUCCCUCAGAAUGGUUGGAAAUCAUUCGUAGAGUGCAAAGGCAUAAGGGAGCUUGACUGCGAGACCUACAAGUCGAGCAGGGACGAAAGUCGGGCUUAGUGAUCCGGUGGUUCCGCAUGGAAGGGCCAUCGCUCAACGGAUAAAAGCUACCCCGGGGAUAACAGGCUUAUCUCCCCCAAGAGUCCACAUCGACGGGGAGGUUUGGCACCUCGAUGUCGGCUCAUCGCAUCCUGGGGCUGUAGUCGGUCCCAAGGGUUGGGCUGUUCGCCCAUUAAAGCGGUACGCGAGCUGGGUUCAGAACGUCGUGAGACAGUUCGGUCCCUAUCCGUCGUGGGCGUAGGAAAUUUGAGAGGAGCUGUCCUUAGUACGAGAGGACCGGGAUGGACGCACCGCUGGUGUACCAGUUGUUCUGCCAAGGGCAUAGCUGGGUAGCUAUGUGCGGAAGGGAUAAGUGCUGAAAGCAUCUAAGCAUGAAGCCCCCCUCAAGAUGAGAUUUCCCAUAGCGUAAGCUAGUAAGAUCCCUGAAAGAUGAUCAGGUUGAUAGGUUCGAGGUGGAAGCAUGGUGACAUGUGGAGCUGACGAAUACUAAUAGAUCGAGGACUUAACCAU
rnacentral:rRNA from 1 species